rnacentral:ncRNA from 1 species
UUAAAAUUUUAUUCUGGUUUAUGAAUUUAUUUUUUGAACGGUUUACAUGUAAAUUUAGGUGUGAGAGUAAUAAUUGAUCUAGAAGAUCUUGUUGUAUUAAUCGCAGUAUUGAAUAUUAUGAAUAUUAGGGUAACCUAGAAUUAGUGAUUUAAUUAAAUAUUGGCUAAAAUCGUGCCAGCUGCCGCGGUUAUACGUUAAAAUAUGAGUGAAUUAUUUUGGUGUUAAAGUUAAUUUGUUAAAAAGAUGUAUUAUAAUGUAUUAAAAGGUUUUUAUGAAGGUGGAAUUUAUAGAAAAUGGUCAAUUUAUAAAGUAAGUGAAUGAGGCUUUGAAGUUUUAAUAAUAGACUAGGAUUAGAUACCCUAUUAUAUAUUAAGAAAAUAUUAACCACUGGAGUAUUAGUAGUUAAGGUCUUGAAAGUCAAAGAAUUUGGCGGUGCUUUAGUCUUGUCAGAGGAAUUUGUCCUGUAAUUGAUAUUACGCGUUAUAGUAAACUUGGCUUUGUAGUUCAACUUAUAUACCGCCGUCAUAAGAAUAUUUUAGAAGAGUAUUUUCUAAAGAUUUAAGGGAGUAGUAUGUCAGGUCAAGGUGUAGUUUAUAGUUAAGAAGGAGAUGAAUUACAAUAAAAUUAUUUAUUACGGAUAUUAAUAUGGAAUUAAUAAUUGAAGGUGGAUUUGAAGGUAAUGUUGUUUUAUUAUGGCAGUGUGAUUUAAGCUCUAAAGUAUGUACACAUCGCCCGUCGCUCUCACUAUAAAGUGAGAUAAGUCGUAACAGAGUAGGUAUACUGGAAAGUGUACCUAGUAAGGC